GGUCCCGAAGCUGACACGGUUCAAGCGCCAGGUUGAAGCCCCGGAGACGCCGGUUCGACUCCGGUCGGGACCA
rnacentral:tRNA from 2 species